GAUUAACGCUAGCGGAAGGCAUAAUACAUGCAAGUCGAACGGGAUAGAACUUAGCAAUAGGUUCUUGAGAGUGGCGCACGGGUGCGUAACACGUAUGCAACCUACCUUUAACUGGGGGAUAGCCUCUCGAAAGAGAGAUUAAUACCCCAUAAUAUAACUGAUGAGCAUUUUUUGGUAUUAAAGAUUUAUCGGUUAAAGAUGGGCAUGCGGCUGAUUAGGUAGUUGGUGAGGUAACGGCUCACCAAGCCAACGAUCAGUAGGGGGUCUGAGAGGAUGUCCCCCCACACUGGUACUGAGACACGGACCAGACUCCUACGGGAGGCAGCAGUAGGGAAUAUUGGACAAUGGGCGCAAGCCUGAACCAGCCAUGCCGCGUGCAGGAAGAAUGCCCUAUGGGUUGUAAACUGCUUUUAUUGGGAAUAAACCUCUUACGUGUAGAGAGCUGAAGGUACCAAAUGAAUAAGCACCGGCUAACUCCGUG
rnacentral:rRNA from 1 species